GCCUAUUGUAGUUAUUGCUUCACACCUUGAGAAAUCCUUGUGGCGGAAGGAAGUCAUAUAUCAUCGCUGCAGUGAAGUGCAAGGAAGAACCUAUAUCAGAUGGUUUUUGCGAAGAUGGGAGAAGAGCUACCGGAGUGGUUCCUUCUUGGUCGAUCUAAUGCUCAUACACAGGUAAAUACCGAUUCAUCUCAUGUUAGCUCAGAGGAUGUCCCUGUCCCUAUCGACCAUGACGUCAGCCAUGGCAAUAUUGAAGGCGACAAUGAUGAGGGGAACAUUGGUGUUAACGAUAACAACUGUGGCUUCAAUCUUCAUGGUGCCUCUCGAGGAGGAUCU